UGAAAAUUGAGAAGAUCAAGAAAGUUUACAGAGGUCCUAAUGGAAAGCAACGAAUAAAAAAUGUUUCUUUUGCCCAGAGCGAAUCACACAUUUCAAUAGUCUGAAGAAACAUCUCAGACGAGCUCAUCCAAACAAGGAAUUCAAUCCUCCUCCUAGGGAAGAACAACAGGAGCAGGGUGGUGACUCAGAGCAGCACAACCAGUAAGCCCAGCAGCAGAUAAGAUUGCCAGGUGAAGAAUAAGUAUGUCUGACACAGCAAGUCCAGAAGUUCAAGAAGCGGAGUUUUAUCGUCAAAUGUCAUAUACGUUCACAUAAAUGAUGAACUUGUGGUAUUAUAUUUUUAGACUAAUAUGCUUGCUGCUGGUUGUAUGCAAACAAUGUGUCAGUGGUGCUCUUUUUUUCAUAACAUAAUACACCGUUUUCAGAUAUA